UUGAAUGCAUGUACCAGUGAGUCCCAUGGGAGGGACUUGAUCAUGCAGAGGUAUGAUCGAAGCAGUUGGAGAGUUGGACUGCUCCAGAGCCCAUAUUCGCUUAAGGGAGCCCGGAAAGUUAGAGGACAAGGUCGAGUAAGCGAACGUUGCUACCAAGGAAGCUAAGGAGAACAGAAUCCGUGCAAAUCCUACAAUGUGAUGGCAGAGGCCAUGCAUGGGAGUUGCAGUCUGUCUUUCCAUCGACCAAAGGGAGCUGCAUGGAGAACAUAGAGGUGUUGAAGCAGGGGGUCGAAAGGGGCGAGGAAGCGAUGACGAGUCCAGAGGGACUUAGCUACCCAAAAUCAAGCAUAAGUUAGA
rnacentral:lncRNA from 1 species